UAGUCCACGCCGUAAACGAUGUCUACUAGCCGUUGGAGAACUUGAUUCUUUAGUGGCGCAGCUAACGCAAUAAGUAGACCGCCUGGGGAGUACGGCCGCAAGGUUAAAACUCAAAUGAAUUGACGGGGGCCCGCACAAGCGGUGGAGCAUGUGGUUUAAUUCGAUGCAACGCGAAGAACCUUACCAGGCCUUGACAUCCUGCGAAUCCUUUAGAGAUAGAGGAGUGCCUUCGGGAACGCAGUGACAGGUGCUGCAUGGCUGUCGUCAGCUCGUGUCGUGAAAUGUUGGGUUAAGUCCCGCAACGAGCGCAACCCUUGUCCUAUGUUGCCAGCGCGUAAUGGCGGGAACUCAUGGGAGACUGCCGGUGAUAAACCGGAGGAAGGUGGGGACGACGUCAAGUCAUCAUGGGCCCUUAUGUCCUGGGGCUACACACGUGCUACAAUGGUCGGUACAGAGGGG
rnacentral:rRNA from 1 species